rnacentral:rRNA from 1 species
UCGAGAAUCUUUCGCAAUGGGCGAAAGCCUGACGAAGCGACGCUGUGUGAGCGAUGAAGGCCUUCGGGUUGUAAAGCUCUUUCGCAUCAGAACAAGAGAGAGUGGUGAAUAGCCAUUUGAUUUGAGGGUAUGAUGUAAAGAAGCACCGGCUAACUCCGUGCCAGCAGCUGCGGUAAUACGGAGGGUGCAAGCAUUAAUCGGAUUUAUUGGGCGUAAAGGGCGCGUAGGCGGAUAUGAAAGUCAAAUGUGAAAUUCCGAAGCUCAACUUCGGAGCCGCAAGUGAAACUUCAUAUCUCGAGGGAAGGCGGAGAAAAUGGAAUUCCACGUGUAGCGGUGAAAUGCGUAGAUAUGUGGAAGAACACCUGUGGCGAAAGCGGUUUUCUAGCUUUUACCUGACGCUGAGGCGCGAGAGCAAGGGGAGCAAACA